AACGAACGCUGGCGGCAGGCUUAACACAUGCAAGUCGAGCGCCCCGCAAGGGGAGCGGCAGACGGGUGAGUAACGCGUGGGAAUCUACCCAUCUCUACGGAAUAACGCAUGGAAACGUGUGCUAAUACCGUAUACGUCCUUCGGGAGAAAGAUUUAUCGGAGAUGGAUGAGCCCGCGUUGGAUUAGCUAGUUGGUGGGGUAAAGGCCUACCAAGGCGACGAUCCACAGCUGGUCUGAGAGGAUGAUCAGCCACACUGGGACUGAGACACGGCCCAGACUCCUACGGGAGGCAGCAGUGGGGAAUAUUGGACAAUGGGCGCAAGCCUGAUCCAGCCAUGCCGCGUGAGUGAUGAAGGCCCUAGGGUUGUAAAGCUCUUUCACCGGUGAAGAUAAUGACGGUAACCGGAGAAGAAGCCCCGGCUAACUUCGUGACAGCCGCCGCAGUAACAC
rnacentral:rRNA from 1 species